UCUUGUUCCUUUCUCUCCUUGUCCUUCCUCCCCCAUAAAAGGAGCUGAGGCCAGAGACCAGGGAGGACAAAUCCCCACAGCAGAACCUCAUGGAAGAGGCUGUUCUGAGAGGCUUGACAGUGCAGGAAUUCAAUGGGGACAAAAAGCCCCGGAGAUCCCACAUGAAGAGGGGCUGCAUACCCAGCCCAGGAAGCAGUGAGGAGGAAAGACCCACCCUGUGCUGGGAAAGCAGCCGGAGAUCCAGAUGCAGCUUGGAGCUGGUGGUUCCUGAGCACCUUCAUGGCAGGGAGAAGCCCUACAAGUGCUUGGAAUGUGGGAAGAGCUUCAGGCAGUGCUCCAGCCUCCUCACCCACCUUUGCAUGCACCUGGCUGGGACCCCCUUUGAGCAGGGGCAGAUUUGAGCCAGAAUAUUGGGAGUCCCAGAGCCAGCCUGUCCCCUCUCCAACAUCUGCAGGCCUCUGGCAAGAGCCCAAAGGGAUGGAAGUGCCUAAAACGGUGAUGAAGUGCCUGAGCUGCUCCCAGCUGUGGAUGUUCCUGUCCACAAACCUCUCCUGGAUUUCCCAUUCACAAACCUUGGCCCGAUGCAGGACGAGGAGGAGGCUGUGAGGAAGAGGAAGAUGUCCCGGGAGCUUAAUGGAGGAGAACCCCAAGGGACAUGAGAAUCAUCCGAAACAUGAUAGCCUUGCUAAUACUUUUCUGC